rnacentral:ncRNA from 1 species
GUGUUUUUGAAAGGACAAAAGGUUAGCAUUACCCUUGACAAGGAUAGAAGAGGCCCUCAGGCCUAAAAAUUAAGAAUGAGGAAUUCAU